rnacentral:rRNA from 1 species
UACGUAGGUGGCAAGCGUUGUCCGGAUUUACUGGGCGUAAAGGAUGCGUAGGCGGAUAUUUAAGUGGGAUGUGAAAUACCCGGGCUCAACCUGGGUGCUGCAUUCCAAACUGGAUAUCUAGAGUGCGGGAGAGGAGAGUGGAAUUCCUAGUGUAGCGGUGAAAUGCGUAGAGAUUAGGAAGAACACCAGUGGCGAAGGCGACUCUCUGGACCGUAACUGACGAUGAGGCAUGAAAGCGUGGGGAGCAAACAGG